ACAUUCAGCUGAUGACGUCCCAAGGAGGAGGAGAGUCCCCAGCGCCGAGGGAGCCCGGCGCUGGGGACUCUCCUCCUCCUUGGGACGUCAUCAGCUGAAUGUGCA
rnacentral:miRNA from 1 species